AUCACUACGUACGAACAACCGCACAAGCAGAUUAAGACGCGUACAAAUUUUUAGCACCGAUUAUAGGAUGAGAUCUAACCAAUGUGCAAGCGAAACCUGAAAAUUACCUGAUCAGGCAAUUUUUCAUUUCAUCACGAAUGAAAAAUUUUUAAUGAUGACACGGAACAUGUGUAUAUAAUACUGGAGUCAAGAUCAUCAACGCAAUCGUACUGCAUAUUAUCUAAUCAGUUGUUUUUAAAAAAAAUCCUUUAAAAAAAUCAAGAGAUACAGAUUGACGAUACAAUAUGAAACCGUAAACGACAAGACACGACAAGAUAAUCAAGAGUUUUCCAAGAACAACCGAGUAGUCGUGGAAAAUGUUUUCUUGGCGUGGUCGAUUCUCAUAAAAUUCACGUUUUGAGAUAGGAAUCUCGCCGGCAAAAGGCACCGUGGCUUAUUAGAAAAUUUUACGCUGAUAAGCUUCACGCGACGCCUCAACUUUUGUUCCCGCCCUCGUCUAAUUUGUUUCACUCAGAAAUCGUUCGAUAUUUCUUCGCGUUGAUCUCAUGACUUUUUACAGACGAAAAAGCUGAUAACGAGCUCUUGAAAACGAUUUUACUUCGUCGAUUAUGUUCCGGCAACUUGUUCACUAUCACGCUUGAGUUCUGUGAAACUUUUUCUGCGUACGAUAAAUCACUGAUACAUGAAAUGGUACGAAGUACCAUUCUAGGAUAAAAACAUUUCAAAGCUCGGCUUCGCGAUGCGAUUUCUUUAAUGACACCAACGCGUUAGAUAACGGUAAUUACUUUGUGAUUAUUAUUUUUCUUUUUUUUUUUUUUUUUUUUUAAUAAAAAUGUUUUAGAGAAACAAAGACGAGAGACAGUCCAAUGGUAUAACAAACGACCGACGACUAUCCAUUGGCUUUUCCAUCUUCCUUGGUAUCCCUAAGGCCAGCGCGCGUACACGUGUACUAUUUCUUUGUCUCCCUUCCUGGACGCGGGUUUCCAUGUCGACGGGACGAAGUACACUAUUACCUGACAGAAGCGUCGACAGUCUCGUCUCUCCCUGAUAUAAACCACCUACGAUCUUCUGCGCGUGCCACUUGCUCGCUUAGACCUCAGUCACCAUUCGAUCGACAAAUUAGUCCGUGAAAUCAUUGCCACUUCUCUAAGAAAAUUUUCUCGCUUCGUACUCGUUUGAGAAAUCAUUUGGAUUUUGACUGAUUUAACUGAAUUGAUUAAUAAUUGCAAACGACUAAACUGAACGGAUGAAAUCAAACUUGGCAAUGAAAACGGACAACUUGCAAACUUGCGUAGUGAAUCGUUUGUAGGUAAUUUAGGCGACACGUAUAUCAAAACUAUUAUUUCUCCUACAUAUGUACAUUCCAUUGGUGUUUGAACUACUAGAGACUGAUUAUUACAAAUAAUUAGGCAGAAUGGAUGAAACUGAUCUCACGAUAUUGUAGAAAUAGAGUUCAGUAGUGCAAGAAGCUCAGAGCAAUUCUUAAAUUAAAACAGUUAAUAAGGAGAGGAGUCGUGUCCAAUCAUUGCUGCUUAUUCUAGUUGAGACAAUUAAGCUGACGGAAGUAUACGUGAUACAACUUGUGACGUGAGUAUACGUCAAUACUGAGCUGCGCGAAUUAUUAAAAUUACAUUGUAUGAAAUGCACAAUAGCAAAUUUUAUAAGAAGUAUUACCUUUUCGUACGGUUGGUAGAAAAUAAUAAAUACAGAAAACGGAAACACAGUACUGUAGUAAAGUGACUUGUAACUAACAUAACAGGCAACAGAAAACGAGAUAUACCAAAAUGGUAUAAUGAAUGGUUAAUAAUAUACGAUAAUAGACAUCGUUAUUACUUUAUUACCAUAUUGUUUAUCGUGCCAUUACGUGUUCGCCGUAUCAUUAUCACUGAUAAAAUGCAAAAUGCGAACAAGUACACGGAACGUAUUUAACAAAAGAAACAAAGGUUAUCAUGUAUAUAAGUCGUAUAUACGUAAUAAAUCACACGAUACAGUGGAGGUAUUUAUAAUAGAAACAAUUCGAUCGAGGGAUAUCAUAGGAAUAUAAUAAAUUGAUCGAAGGGCCGCCGAAUAAUUGAAUUUUAUCGAUCGCAGAUAAUUACAUGGACAUGUGCCUAUAACUAGGCUUGAGUCACGAGUCAGAAACGUAACUAUCUAAACUAUAACAGGAUUCCUAUCUAAACUUCGUUAUUAUCAAGGAUCGACCUUUAGCGGAAGUGGGUUGCUAGCGAGUCGCAUAGGACGUUACACUUUCGAGCAUAACCACGGAAAUGUUAAUUCUCAAGAGUGCUUUUGUACGGAUCGAUUUUUAGACGACUAUACACCACUUUGCAUGGACAAGUGUUUUACGUAUUUCGUACAGCAAUAGCACAUGUCGCUGCAACUGGAAGAACAGCUUUCCGCGCUAUUGCCAUCGAUGAUGCACCCCAACGUGUAUUGAAUUUCACGGGAAAUUCCAUUUGCAAUAGUAAAUAUUCUAGAAAGAAUUGUGUACUGAACAAAUGCAUCGAGGAAAGCCGUAUCGAUCUGAGAAAAAGAGUAUGACGAAUCGCGAAAGACUUUCUCUGUCCGAUGGCAUCUAUUUGGAGCUAGGUAUUACAUCGAGCAAUAAUAACGUAAGGUGGUGAAUGAUGAUGAAAAAGAGAUCGCGUGAUCGGUGUAAUUGGCUUAUGGGUGCAACCGUGUUUUUCGAGACGGAAAUAAAAUUGGAUAAGUCGAGGGAAUGGUGUAACAAGGAGUGGCCCUUUCCAUCGUUCAUCCAUUGGGUGCGUACACCGAGAGAUAUAGUUCCGUCGCGUCUAUUUACGAGGCCAGGUUUCGUGUUUGCGACCGGUAACGACGUUGAUCCAUCGAUAGGACACAUGUGACGGACACACCCUAAAAAUCCUUCCUUUGUUCUUCCUUUAUCAGUGAAUCGGGAAAUGAAUUAAAAGAGAAAAAAAAAAAGACCAAACGAAGAAGAUGGUUGCACAAGAAAUUUGCUUUGCGUGCAUGCGGAAGUGAAACCCUACUGACUGUUAAUAUUUUACGCCACCACAAUCGAGGAUCUUAUCGAGUGUGCAGAUAUCGUGCAACAUAGUCCAGUGAUAUUGGAAAUAACAAAACAACGAUAUAAUCACGCGAGUACGAUCAGUCAUUUGUCAGAUAUCCAUUAUUUAUAUCUGUGGUGGUGGUUUCUAUUCGAUUGAUAUUAACUAGUGAGAAACGAUCGUCAACAAUAGGUACGAUCAGCAGGAAAUCUUUGUUUCUAUUUCUAUGUCAUAACGUCACAUUAAUUAUAAGAAAAAAUAAAUAAAUAAAUGCGAUUGAAGGGAAUUACAUUUACGUAGAAGCAUAAAUUAAAAUACGUUGUACAAAGAAAUUAUCAAGAAAUUAUCAAGAGAGAAUGUUGCUGUAGGUACUUCCGUUGAAUAGAGCAGUGAUCACCAGCGAAUAUCACGUUAGGAACAUUUUGACGCUGGUGAACUGCAUUUUAAUCACGUAUGUAGGCAACCAUCCAAAUCACGUUUUUGUAAUUGGCACUGGCUCUACCUUUCGGUUGUCAACAUGAUCAUGUAUCUACAAACUGCUCUGAAACAGGUUGCCUUGGGAAACAUCUGUUCCCCACACGUGAUAGAAACGACGCUUGUUCCAUUACGAAUAUCGAACUACCUGUUGAUGUAAAUAUAGAUUCCGAAUUGAUAUCAAAGAUGAAAUCAAUAGUAUCAAAUAGGACGCAAAUUUGUCACAUCGAUGUUAAUUGAUGGUAAUGCUGCCUCGUGAAUGCGUCUAUAAUAAUAAAAUAUUCCACUGUCCAAAU